AGCGAACGCUGGCGGCAGGCCUAACACAUGCAAGUCGAACGGACCCUUCGGGGUUAGUGGCGGACGGGUGAGUAACACGUGGGAACGUGCCUUUAGUUUCGGAAUAGCUCCUGGAAACGGGUGGUAAUGCCGAAUGUGCCCUUCGGGGGCAAGAUUUAUCGCCUUUAGAGCUGCCCGCGUCUGAUUAGCUAGUUGGUGAGGUAAUGGCUCAGCAAGGCGACGAUCAGUAGCUGGUCUGAGAGGAUGACCAGCCACAUUGGGACGGAGACACGGCCCAAACUCCUACGGGAGGCAGCAGUGGGGAAUCUUGCGCAAUGGGCGAAAGCCUGACGCAGCCAUGCCGCGUGGAUGAUGAAGGUCUUAGGAUUGUAAAAUCCUUUCACCGGUGAAGAUAAUGACUGUAGCCGGAGAAGAAGCCCCGGCUAACUUCGUGCCAGCAGCAGCCGCGGUAA
rnacentral:rRNA from 1 species